GACGCGGGCACAGCGUCCUCCAAGAGGCCACCUUGCUGAGAGGCAGACUUCCCAUCCACAAAAUGGGAUGACAAAACGGCUCAGAGUUGAAACCACUUCUCCAAGGAGACACAACUGCUGCCCGCAGAGCUGAAGCUCCUGACCCACUAUCAAAUUUCAAUCAUUUAUUUGCCUACCCCCUUUAUGAUUUUUACCACCCGUUACUUCAA
rnacentral:lncRNA from 1 species